AAGUGGCGUCACGCCCCGCCGCGGGGGAAGCCGGGAAAGGAGCUCGGCUAAGCUCCUAGACGGCACAAGUUGUGGCUGGCAUGGGCAGGCUGUGUGGCGGGAUGAUCCUGCACCUCAGAAAGCCUGCCAAGGGUCAGCUCCUCCCCAGGAACUGCUCAAGACCACGCCUAUAAGUUCCUUCUGGUGUUCAGCAUCACCUGCACCCAUGUCAGCAUUCAGCAUCUUGGGAAACAAAAUUUCAAGACUUGGAUACAAAAUCCUUGAUGAAUGAUCUUCAUCGGAGGCUCUGGGAGCAGCUGAGGUGGGCAGGACACCUCAGGCCAGGACUCUUCAUAGUAAUGUAGUGUGAAAAAAAAAUUAAAACUCGACUCAUAAAUCAAAUUGUUAUACGAUCCAGCAAUCCUACUUCUGGAUAUGACCACCCUCUAGAGUGAAAAAAAAUCAGGAACAUCAAAGAGAUAUUUGGGCAUUUACAGUCAUAACAUCAGUCUUCACAAGCCAGAGUACAGAAGGAACUUGGCUGUUCAUCCAUAGACAAAUCGCCACAUAAAAUGUGGUCUACAUAUGGGGCAGAAGCUCUUCGGUCUCAGAAAGGAAGGAGAGUCUUCACCAUGAAUGAAAUGUGAACACAUUGUUCAGAGUGAAACGGGCCACAAAAAGGGACAGGACCAUAUGAACAAGAUCAGCUCUAGUUGCUGUCCAGGUGGGGUGUAGGAUCCUCUCUCUUGAGUGCUUCAGCCUCGGCAGCAGAGGUCACCCAGAUCAGUACAGCCCUGAAAGCAGCAUGGGCCUCGGACACCAAUAUGGUUUCAGGUUUUCCACAUUUCUUAAUAAGUAUACUCUUGACAGUGUGGGAGUCCCCCUUUCCUGAACUCCUUCUUAGUACUUCCUAUGAUCUGUCCCCCAAACUUUACAGUAUGCUGGGUAUGACUCAGCAUCUUAUUGUGUGUUUCUUUUGUAGUAUACAGCAUUAUGAAUUUGGUUUCCUUAUUAUGUCUACUGAUUGUAUUUUCUAGGAAUUUCUCCUUCUGACUCUGAUUUUUCCAUGGAGUUGUAUAUUUCUCAUUGAUUUUGCAGAUUUUGGCAAACAGAUCAUCAUCAAAGGAAGUCAGGACAAGAACUGAAGGCAGGGACGUGGAGGCAGGAGCUGAAGCAGAGACCAUGAAGUAAUGCUGUUUACUGGCUUACUUCCCACGGAGGGAAUAACCAGGGCACAGCCACAGUUGAAGCAAAACCAAAACCGAGCAGUGUGAAGCUCAGUUCAGACUUCUGGGACACACUCAGGCCUUUGCGCAGCGACGGGUGUGGUAGUUCUGCUUCUCCGGCUUUGCCAUCUACAGCACACACAGCUCGUCUCAUUAGUUCAAGCCAUCUCGACGCCACACCUGCUGCUGUGCUUACUACAUUGUCUCAUCUCCAAAACGCUGGGGUUGCCUGCUCCAACUGGGCUGCACUGUCACCACCAGCCUCUUCUGGGUUCUCUGCAGGAACCCUGACCUUGCCACAUGGUACCCAGGCUCAACCUCUCUCCAUCCUGGGGCUUCUACUGCACCUUCACCAGUGGCCUCCCCUGACCCCGUGCCAAACCUCAGCUGCUCUCCAUGCCCGAUUCAUGCCUUUAAACCAGUACCACCUGUGAGUCUAUUACACGACUUUGGCUGCCAGCACAAGGUACAACUUUAACUCUCUCUGGACUACAGAUUCUGUGUGUUGACCCUGAGGAAAUACUUCCCAAAGACUGUGCCAUCAUCAACAAUAAUGGUCUCUUCUUAAUCAUAGACGAUUCUUCCAGCUGAGCUUAGCAGCAUCCAUUGCAAAGGUUUCACUUUAGUGAGUCUGGUCUUGUGUAAAUCAGCAGAUUAUCCAACCCUUACUACCUAGAACCACAUACUCUUAAUGCAAAAUACCACACAAAUGGUCUUUGCUUCCCUCCAAAACAUCAUAAGUCAGGCCACUACCAUCUGCAUCACUCUGAACAUUCUUAUCUUUCAAGCCCCCACAGAAUAUCCCAUUAAACCCUGAGUACUCAAUGGCUUUUCUAGCUCCAAGAUCCAAAAUACUUCCACAAUCCUCCCCAAACCAAGGUCAGGCCUGUUACAGCAAUAUCCCACAGAUCAGGUACCAAUUUCUGUCUCAGAGUGAUAAAACACCAUGACCAAAAGGGAGGAAAGAAUUUAUUUCAUCUUACAGCUUCUAGUCCUUCAUCCAGGGGAGUCAGGGUAUGAAUGUGGAGGCAGGGAUGGAAUCAGAAGUAAUGGAGGAACGUUGCUUGGUUAAAAGAUUGAGUUUGGCCCUAGUCCCCUCCUCAACUUACUUCUCAGUUGCUCUACCAUACGACACAAUAUAAAGACCUUGCUAUAUGCUAGAACGUGAAGAACUCUAUGGAUUUCUGUUUUAUAAUUCCCCAUGGCUUUCUCAUAAAAAUUUCCUUCCUUCCUUCCUUCCUUCCUUCCUUCCUUCCUUCCUUCCUUCCUUCCAUUUUAAACGUGUAUCUUCCCACCUCAAAAGAUCUGGAUUAAAAGUGGGUCAACCCACUUCAAAUUACUUAAAAACCCACACAGGUGUUACCAGCUGCUUGAAAUUUUAUUUAAUUCUAGGUGUCAUCAAAAGGGCAACCAAGAACCACCACCAGAUAAUUUAAUUUUAAAAAUUAUUAUAUAUGCACACUUAUAUGUAUAUAUGUUCACAGAGCCAGGAAUUCCCUAUGUAGACCAGAGCAGCCUUGAACACAUUUCA